rnacentral:rRNA from 1 species
CUAAGAAUCUUCCGCAAUGGGCGAAAGCCUGACGGAGCGACGCCGCGUGGGUGACGAAGGCCGAGAGGUUGUAAAGCCCUUUUCUGACCGAAGAAUAAAGCCGGGAGGCAAUGCCCGGCUGAUGACAGUAAGUCAGGAAUAAGCCCCGGCCAAUUACGUGCCAGCAGCCGCGGUAACACGUAUGGGGCGAGCGUUGUUCGGAAUUAUUGGGCGUAAAGGGCGCGCAGGCGGUCUCGUAAGCCUGGUGUGUAAGGCAGCAGCUCAACUGUUGUUUUGCGCUGGGAACUGUGAGACUUGAGUUCAGGAGGGGAAGCUGGAAUUCCAGGUGUAGGGGUGAAAUCUGUAGAUAUCUGGAAGAACAUCGGUGGCGAAGGCGAGCUUCUGGCCUUGAACUGACGCUGAGGCGCGAAAGCGUGGGGAGCGAACA